UUUAGAAUAAAAAAUAAGAACGGGCCUUGUGAUUUCAAUUGAAGCUAUCAUUCAUAAUUACAAGACGAUAAAAAUAAGAGACUACAUUGUCGUGAACAAGAGGUUAGAUUUCAUUAUUGUCAAGUUGUCAAAUAAUAUUAUCGAUAUAUAUCAGCUAAACUUUCUAUCUAUAGUUAUCUCAAUUUAUCAAUUUAAUCAUAGUAAACUUAUUUUUAAGGCUUAAGUCAUCUGCGGCCCCUUAAAGUUGUCCGCAAAAUUCAUUUAGACAUCUUAACUAGACCUAGUACCUAUUGAACACCUUUACCAACCAAGAUUUGAGCCGUUUAAGCAUUUUUUGCCUACAUGGCAAAACGUUUGUGAGUCACACAAAUGGGGCGCGUGAAUCCGUUUUUCUCCCAUUUUUUGCCUGCAUUUAACUCCCCCAACGUUAAAUUCUUAACGUAAUUUCUCUCCCAACGUUCUCUUCUUCCCCUAAAUCCACUCUAGAACCCUAAAUCUCCCAUUCUAGCUUCUUUCUCUAAAUCUCCAAUCUUUCUCUUGUUUCUCUCUUCUAAAUCAGUUGUCUUUUAUCAAAUGUCGCAAAAUUCAGUGAAUAUUGAGGAAGCUGAUAUAUGUAAAUGUGGUGAUUAUUGCUGACUGAAAACUUCGAGGACUCCAUUGAACCCAUGUCGUCGAUUUUUUGGAUGCAAAGCAUCAAAGGAAAAUGGUGGAUGUGGCUAUUUUAGAUGGAUUGAUCCGUCGCCUGAAAAUGCUGAUGAAUCAUCUAGAUUUGUGUCAUGGAAUAGAUUCAUAGAUGGUGAAAAAAUCCGAUUGAACGAUUAAAGAGAAAAGUGAAAGAGCUUGAAGAAGAAAGAGAUUCUUUGAAAUUUCAAUUGAAUGAAAAUGAAGAGAAGAUGAUGGUAUUGAACAAGAAGCUCAAGGAAGUUAAACUCCAAAGGGAUUGGGAAAAUGUCAUAUUUAAUCGACUUGUGAUUGUUUUUCUUUGUCUGCUAACUAUAAAAUGGUUCUUUAAUAUGGUGUACUUCAUAGUAGUUCAAGAUUGUAGUACUUAAUUGUUUAGUUUUGUAGUAGUUAGAAGGUUAAUUGGUCUGUUUUGUAAUAGUUAGUCCUAUGUAAGUUCAUAUUUUGCAUCAAAUUGAAAGUUUGAAUAUGAA